CCUACGGGUGGCAGCAGUGGGGAAUAUUGCACAAUGGGGGAAACCCUGAUGCAGCAACGCCGCGUGAGUGAAGAAGUAUCUCGGUAUGUAAAGCUCUAUCAGCAGGGAAGAAAAUGACGGUACCUGACUAAGAAGCCCCGGCUAACUACGUGCCAGCAGCCGCGGUAAUACGUAGGGGGCAAGCGUUACCCGGAUUUACUGGGUGUAAAGGGAGCGUAGACGGUGUGGCAAGUCUGAAGUGAAAGUCCGGGGCUCAACCCCGGGACUGCUUUGGAAACUGUCAUGCUGGAGUGCUGGAGAGGUAAGCGGAAUGCGUGGUGUAGCGGUGAAAUGCGUAGAUAUUAGGAGGAACACCGGUGGCGAAGGCAGCCUGCUGGACGACAACUGACGGUGAGGCGCGAAAGCGUGGGGAGCAAACAGGAUUAGAUACCCUUGUAGUC
rnacentral:rRNA from 1 species